UACAGAGGUCUCAAGCGUUUGUUCGGAUUCAUUGGGCGUAAAGGGUGCGUAGGCGGCGCGGUAAGUCGGGUGUGAAAUCUCGGAGCUUAACUCCGAAACUGCAUUCGAUACUGCCGUGCUUGAGGACUGGAGAGGAGACUGGAAUUUACGGUGUAGCGGUGAAAUGCGUAGAUAUCGUAAGGAAGACCAGUGGCGAAGGCGGGUCUCGUGGACAGUUCCUGACGCUGAGGCAACGAAGGCCAGGGGAGCGAACGGG
rnacentral:rRNA from 1 species